UACGUAGGGGGGCAAGCGUUGUCCGGAAUCAUUGGGCGUAAAGAGCGUGUAGGCGGCUCGAUAAGUCUGCUGUGAAAGUCCAGGGCUCAACCCUGGAAGGCCGGUGGAAACUGGCAGGCUAGAGUGCGGGAGAGGAGAGUGGAAUUCCUGGUGUAGCGGUGAAAUGCGCAGAUAUCAGGAAGAACACCCGUGGCGAAGGCGGCUCUCUGGAACGCAACU
rnacentral:rRNA from 1 species